rnacentral:misc_RNA from 1 species
GAUGAAGAACGCAGCGAAAUGCGAUAAGUAAUGUGAAUUGCAGAAUUCAGUGAAUCAUCGAAUCUUUGAACGCACAUUGCGCCCCUUGGUAUUCCGAGGGGCAUGCCUGUUCGAGCGUCAUUAUAACCCUCAAGCUCAGCUUGGUGUUGGGGCCAGCUGCACUGGCAGCCCUUAAAAUCAGUGGCGGCGCCAUCUGGCUCUAAGCGUAGUAAUUCUUCUCGCUAUGGAGUCCUGGUGGAUGCUUGCCAUCAACCCCCAAUUUUUCUAUGGUUGACCUCGGAUCAGGUAGGGAUACCCGCUGAACUUAAGCAUAUCAAUAAGCGGAGGA